AUAUUUUUGCCACCGACACUUUUGAGUGUUGAGUUUUUUCUCUUCCCUCAAAGACCAAUAGACAUUUUCAAAGUUUCAUAUUUUAGUAAAUUAAAGUUUUAUUUUUAUUAACAUGUGCAUUAAAGGAGGAGAUGCAUGUUUUAUCACUAUUCUCCAAAGUCUAGACUACAAUCAAUAAGAAAAUUUCAUUUAUUUUAUUUGAAUUAAUUAAAAUUAAAAUUAAAACUUAUAUUGGUGAAUGUGGUCUCAUUUAAAUGGCCUAUAACUCCUUGUACAUAAUUUUGCUUUGUUUGUUAAUUAGCUGGGAAAAGCAUAAAUAGCAUCCCCUUGUACACAGCUGCCACUACAAUUUCUCCAUAUUGGCCGGAAGAGUUCCUUCUCUCUUAAGGUUUUCCCUUUUAUCUGAAAUCUGAUAAAUUUAACAGAAAGUCCUCGAAUUUUGCUUUAUAUA
rnacentral:misc_RNA from 1 species